rnacentral:rRNA from 1 species
GAAUGCUGACAUAAGUAACGAUAAAGCGGGUGAAAAGCCCGCUCGCCGGAAGACCAAGGGUUCCUGUCCAACGUUAAUCGGGGCAGGGUGAGUCGACCCCUAAGGCGAGGCCGAAAGGCGUAGUCGAUGGGAAACGGGUUAAUAUUCCCGUACUUGGUGUUACUGCGAAGGGGGGACGGAGAAGGCUAUGUUGGCCGGGCGACGGUUGUCCCGGUUUAAGCGUGUAGGUGUGUGUUCCAGGUAAAUCCGGUUCACUUUAACACUGAGGCGUGACGACGAGGCACUACGGUGCUGAAGCAACAAAUGCCCUGCUUCCAGGAAAAGCCUCUAAGCAUCAGGUAACAUCAAAUCGUACCCCAAACCGACACAGGUGGUCAGGUAGAGAAUACCAAGGCGCUUGAGAGAACUCGGGUGAAGGAACUAGGCAAAAUGGUGCCGUAACUUCGGGAGAAGGCACGCUGACACGUAGGUGAAGUGAUUUACUCAUGGAGCUGAAGUCAGUCGAAGAUACCAGCUGGCUGCAACUGUUUAUUAAAAACACAGCACUGUGCAAACACGAAAGUGGACGUAUACGGUGUGACGCCUGCCCGGUGCCGGAAGGUUAAUUGAUGGGGUCAGCGCAAGCGAAGCUCCUGAUCGAAGCCCCGGUAAACGGCGGCCGUAACUAUAACGGUCCUAAGGUAGCGAAAUUCCUUGUCGGGUAAGUUCCGACCUGCACGAAUGGCGUAAUGAUGGCCAGGCUGUCUCCACCCGAGACUCAGUGAAAUUGAACUCGCUGUGAAGAUGCAGUGUACCCGCGGCAAGACGGAAAGACCCCGUGAACCUUUACUAUAGCUUGACACUGAACAUUGAGCCUUGAUGUGUAGGAUAGGUGGGAGGCUUUGAAGUGUGGACGCCAGUCUGCAUGGAGCCGACCUUGAAAUACCACCCUUUAAUGUUUGAUGUUCUAACGUGGACCCGUUACCCGGGUUGCGGACAGUGUCUGGUGGGUAGUUUGACUGGGGCGGUCUCCUCCUAAAGAGUAACGGAGGAGCACGAAGGUUGGCUAAUCCUGGUCGGACAUCAGGAGGUUAGUGCAAUGGCAUAAGCCAGCUUGACUGCGAGCGUGACGGCGCGAGCAGGUGCGAAAGCAGGUCAUAGUGAUCCGGUGGUUCUGAAUGGAAGGGCCAUCGCUCAACGGAUAAAAGGUACUCCGGGGAUAACAGGCUGAUACCGCCCAAGAGUUCAUAUCGACGGCGGUGUUUGGCACCUCGAUGUCGGCUCAUCACAUCCUGGGGCUGAAGUAGGUCCCAAGGGUAUGGCUGUUCGCCAUUUAAAGUGGUACGCGAGCUGGGUUUAGAACGUCGUGAGACAGUUCGGUCCCUAUCUGCCGUGGGCGCUGGAGAACUGAGGGGGGCUGCUCCUAGUACGAGAGGACCGGAGUGGACGCAUCACUGGUGUUCGGGUUGUCAUGCCAAUGGCACUGCCCGGUAGCUAAAUGCGGAAGAGAUAAGUGCUGAAAGCAUCUAAGCACGAAACUUGCCCCGAGAUGAGUUCUCCCUGAGACUUUAGGUCUCCUGAAGGAACGUUGAAG